GACGAACGCUGGCGGCGUGCCUAAUACAUGCAAGUCGAACGAGUGGCGGACGGGUGAGUAACACGUGGGUGAUCUGCACCUUACUUUGGGAUAAGCCUGGGAAACUGGGUCCAAUACUGGAUAGUCAGGGCUGAGCUCGCGGCCUAUCAGCUUGUUGGGGGGGUAAUGGCUACCAAGGCGCGACGGGUAGCCGGCCUGAGAGUGUUGACGGCCACAUGGGGACUGAGCUACGGCCCAGAGUCCUACGGGAGGCAGCAGUGGGGAAUAUGGCACAAUGGGCGCAAGCCUGAUGCAGCGACGCCGCGUGGGGGAUGACGGCCUUCGGGUUGUAAACUCCUUUCAGCCAUGACGCGGUAGUGGUAGAAGAAGCACCGGCUAACUACGUGCCAGCAGCCGCGGUAAUAC
rnacentral:rRNA from 1 species